rnacentral:rRNA from 1 species
UACAGAGGGUGCGAGCGUUAAUCGGAAUUACUGGGCGUAAAGCGCGCGUAGGCGGCUUUGCAAGUCGGGUGUGAAAUCCCCAAGCUUAACUUGGGAACUGCAUUCGAGACUGCAUUGCUAGAGUACGGUAGAGGGGGAUGGAAUUCCGCGUGUAGCAGUGAAAUGCGUAGAUAUGCGGAGGAACACCGAUGGCGAAGGCAAUCCCCUGGACCUGUACUGACGCUCAUGCACGAAAGCGUGGGGAGCAAACAGG